rnacentral:rRNA from 1 species
UACAUGGGGUGCAAACGUUGCUCGGAUUUAUUGGGCGUAAAGAGCUCGUAGGCGGUUCGACAAGUCGGGUGUGAAAACUCCGGGCUCAACCCGGAGACGCCACCCGAUACUGCUGUGACUGGAGUCCGGUAGGGGAGCGUGGAAUUCCUGGUGUAGCGGUGAAAUGCGCAGAUAUCAGGAGGAACACCAGCGGCGAAGGCGGCGCUCUGGGCCGGUACUGACACUGAGGAGCGAAAGCGUGGGUAGCAAACAGG